GACAGAGGAUGCAAGCGUUAUCCGGAAUGAUUGGGCGUAAAGCGUCUGUAGGUGGUUUGAAAAAGUCUCCUGUCAAAGAUCAGGGCUUAACCCUGGGCCGGCAGGAGAAACUCUCAGGCUAGAGUUUGGUAGGGGCAGAGGGAAUUCCCGGUGGAGCGGUGAAAUGCGUAGAGAUGUGGAGGAAUACCGAUGGCGAAGGCAGCCCCCCUGGGUCGAUACUGACGCUCAUGCACGAAAGCGUGGGGAGCAAACAGG
rnacentral:rRNA from 1 species